rnacentral:rRNA from 1 species
AGAGUUUGAUCCUGGCUCAGGACGAACGCUGGCGGCACGCUUAACACAUGCAAGUCGAACGAGAGAAGAGGAGCUUGCUUUUCUGAUCUAGUGGCGGACGGGUGAGUAACACGUGAGCAAUCUGCCUUUCAGAGGGGGAUACCGAUUGGAAACGAUCGUUAAUACCGCAUAACAUAAUUGAACCGCAUGAUUUGAUUAUCAAAGAUUUAUCGCUGAAAGAUGAGCUCGCGUCUGAUUAGCUAGUUGGUAAGGUAACGGCUUACCAAGGCGACGAUCAGUAGCCGGACUGAGAGGUUGAUCGGCCACAUUGGGACUGAGACACGGCCCAGACUCCUACGGGAGGCAGCAGUGGGGAAUAUUGCACAAUGGAGGAAACUCUGAUGCAGCGAUGCCGCGUGAGGGAAGAAGGUUUUAGGAUUGUAAACCUCUGUCUUCAGGGACGAAAAAAGACGGUACCUGAGGAGGAAGCUCCGGCUAACUACGUGCCAGCAGCCGCGGUAUACGUAGGGAGCGAGCGUUGUCCGGAAUUACUGGGUGUAAAGGGAGCGUAGGCGGGAUCGCAAGUCAGAUGUGAAAACUAUGGGCUUAACCCAUAAACUGCAUUUGAAACUGUGGUUCUUGAGUGAAGUAGAGGUAAGCGGAAUUCCUAGUGUAGCGGUGAAAUGCGUAGAUAUUAGGAGGAACAUCAGUGGCGAAGGCGGCUUACUGUGCUUUAACUGACGCUGAGGCUCGAAAGCGUGGGGAGCAAACAGGAUUAGAUACCCUGGUAGUCCACGCCGUAAACGAUGAUUACUAGGUGUGGGGGGACUGACCCCUUCCGUGCCGCAGCAAACGCAAUAAGUAAUCCACCUGGGGAGUACGACCGCAAGGUUGAAACUCAAAGGAAUUGACGGGGGCCCGCACAAGCAGUGGAGUAUGUGGAUUAAUUCGAAGCAACGCGAAGAACCUUACCAGGUCUUGACAUCGUAUGCAUAGCUCAGAGAUGAGUGAAAUCUCUUCGGAGACAUAUAGACAGGUGGUGCAUGGUUGUCGUCAGCUCGUGUCGUGAGAUGUUGGGUUAAGUCCCGCAACGAGCGCAACCCUUACUGUUAGUUGCUACGCAAGAGCACUCUAGCAGGACUGCCGUUGACAAAACGGAGGAAGGUGGGGAUGACGUCAGAUCAUCAUGCCCCUUAUGACCUGGGCCUCACACGUACUACAAUGGCUGUCAACAGAGGGAAGCAAAGCCGCGAGGUGGAGCGAACCCCUAAAAGCAGUCUUAGUUCGGAUUGUAGGCUGCAACCCGCCUACAUGAAGUCGGAAUUGCUAGUAAUCGCAGAUCAGCAUGCUGCGGUGAAUACGUUCCCGGGCCUUGUACACACCGCCCGUCACGCCAUGGGAGUCGGUAACACCCGAAGCCUGUAGUCUAACCGCAAGGAGGACGCAGUCGAAGGUGGGAUUGAUGACUGGGGUGAAGUCG